rnacentral:lncRNA from 1 species
UUACUUUCAUAUAUAUCAAAUGAGUUUAAAUGUUACGUUCAAGCAAGUUAUUUCAUGACUAAAUUAAUUGAAGUUAUUUCAAAUAUUGUCUUGCCAUAAAAUAUUUAAAUUUCAGUAUGAUAUCUAUCUGAUGUGACUUUUAUUAUGAAAUCGAAUUCGGGUCCUGAGCAGUUGAUAGCUAUCCUGCCAGGACUAGUGUACACCAGUGACCGUGAGUCAUCUAGCGGGUUGGCCGGUCAAGUGACCGUGAGAGGUGGCCACCUCUCCGGCACAAAGUUCCAGAUAUGAUAGAUUACAAGAGAACUUAGACUGCAGUCGAACUUUAAGAAUCACAAAUGAAUUUAGUAAGCUUGGGCCUUUUAGCGAAAAACUCCCUUGCUGUACUGUUUAAUUAUGGCAUGACAAUUUACAGUUUUGAAGCAUGUAUUUUAUACUUAGGCAUACGUGCCCACUGAGUACUUUUGUACUCAAGCCCUGCA